GGCUCAGAUUGAACGCUGGCGGCAUGCCUUACACAUGCAAGUCGAACGGCAGCGGACCUUCGGGUGCCGGCGAGUGGCGAACGGGUGAGUAAUAUAUCGGAACGUACCUUUCAGUGGGGGAUAACGUAGCGAAAGUUACGCUAAUACCGCAUAUUCUGUGAGCAGGAAAGCAGGGGGAUCGCAAGACCUUGCGCUGAUUGAGCGGCCGAUAUCAGAUUAGCUAGUUGGUGAGGUAAAGGCUCACCAAGGCGACGAUCUGUAGCGGGGUCUGAGAGGAUGAUCCGCCACACUGGAACUGAGACACGGUCCAGACUCCUACGGGAGGCAGCAGUGGGGAAUUUUGGACAAUGGGCGCAAGCCUGAUCCAGCCAUGCCGCGUGAGUGAAGAAGGCCUUCGGGUUGUAAAGCUCUUUCGGCCGGGAAGAAAUCGCACGGGUUAAUACCCUGUGUGGAUGACGGUACCGGAAUAAGAAGCACCGGCUAACUACGUG
rnacentral:rRNA from 1 species